UACGUAGGGGGCAAGCGUUGUCCGGAUCUAUUGGGCGUAAAGAGCGUGUAGGCGGUUCGGUAGGUCCGUUGUGAAAACUCGAGGCUCAACCUCGAGACGCCGAUGGAAACCCUCGAACUAGAGUCCGGAAGAGGAGAAUGGAAUUCCUGGUGUAGCGGUGAAAUGCGCAGAUAUCAGGAAGAACACCCGUGGCUAAGGCGGUUCUCUAGUACGGUACUGACGCUGAGACGCGAAAGCGUGGGGAGCGAACAGG
rnacentral:rRNA from 1 species